ACGAAAUCUGCGUGGGCUCCGUGCUUGGCAAAGAGUGUUCCUGAGGGUAUGAUAGGAAGAUGAUGUAGGAGUCACAUGCGCCAAUCACAGUCCUCUGAACGGGCCACACCACGGUUGAGCCAUUGUGACCCCUGCGACACACAGGUCCAGGCCUCCUGGAGUCACAAAGCUUUGAGCAACAGGAGAACCACUAAAGAAGAAGAAACAGCUAGCUCCUGCCUUAACUGAUUAACCGAACUUGCAACAUUCCACCAUUGUGAUAUGUUCCUGCCCUACCCUAAAUAAUCAAUCGGCCUUGUGAUAUCCUGCCAUGUGAACUCCCUCCACCUCGUGACUACGCACCUUGUGACAUUCUUCCCCUGCCCGAAAAGACUGCCCCAACUGUAACCUUCCACUACCUAUCCCAAACCUAUAAAACCAGUUCCACUCCCACCGCCCUUCGCUGACUCCCUUUUCAGACUCAGCCCGCUCGCACCGGAGUGAAUAAACAGCCUUGUUGCUCACACUUAGCCUGUCUGGGUAGUCUCUUCAAUUAGGCACGCGCUUAACACUUUCCAAAUUUUCUACAUUCAAAUGAUGUGCCAAAGCUGGCUCGCACCAAUCUGAGGUGUCAAUUUUGUGCGUCUUUUCCAAACUUUCCAUGCAAUGAUGAUAGACUGAUAGCUUGAAAUCGGUCAUAGUGAAGUAUUUACACCAUGGAAAUUGGCAAUUCUACAAACAGGCUUUUUCCAUCUAAAGAGCUGGUUGCUAUACAUUACCAGCACACCACUGGCA
rnacentral:lncRNA from 10 species